CCUGAGGCCCCCUCCUCCUCCUGCAAUUUGACAAGCCUUGACCAAAUCAUAAACUCCCAGUUAAUGGGAUAAAAAUGAGUUUGAAUCUAGGAUUCUGGCCAUUAACCCCAUGUCACCAUCUGCUUGAGCAGUUUGAUGGCAGGGCCAGGUGAAUUCUAAUCACCCAACACUUGUUAAACUGCAGAUUCCUUCUUCCUUGCCCCUGCUGACUCAGCAUCUCUGGGGUGGGGCCUGCAAAGACUCUUUUCCUUGACAGUGUUAUUGCAGGCAGCUCUAGGAACCCACCCAGGACCAGACCUGAUAAGGAGUUCUUGCUAUGCAUCAGGCAUGCCAGCUCUGUUUGUGGAGUUUCAUACUUGCAUUUUUCUCUGCCUGGAGAGCUCCUUGCAGCUGGCUGCUUCUGUGUCACAGUCCCCAGAGGGGUCUUGUCUCCUUAUCUCCACCCUCCACACUGCUCACUAUUCCAUUACAAGUUUCCUUUUCUACCCAGUACUAAUCAUUUUCUGCAAUUCAUCUCAUCUUUUUGUGAAUUAUCUGUUGGUCCUACUGGAAUAUAAGUCUCCACAUGGGGGCAGAGACCCUGCAUGGCUUGUUAGAAGCUGUAUCCCCAGCAUUGCAGCAUAUGAGGGAUGCUCAGAAAUAUAAGAAUUGAUGAACAAAUGAACACAUGAGUGAAUUCAUUCAGCUCUGAUGCUGAGGCUGCCUCUUUGAGAUGAAAGAAUGGGGGAUGCUCUUCUAAUCCUGGGGAGCCUGGUGCCUGCCCUGAGCCUGGUUCGCAAGGCAGAUGAGAGGUACCUCCUACCUCUCAACCCUGUCUGUUGUUACCCCCAACACCCAGGGAAGACAUCACUGGAGCCAGAGUCAGUGCAAGGGUCAAGAGGAGUAUCUGCACCCAGAGAAUCUCAGCUGAGGUUACCUGAUUUUUAAAAGCCUGGACUUAAGGAGCUAUUGACUCCUUAGCUUCAUUGCCUCCAAAACCACAGGGGCAGUCUACUUCUGCCCUUCUUUCCCCUGGGAAGGAAAAAUAGAAGAAAGAAGCCAUCUCUGUUUGCUUUCUCUCUGUCACUCAAUGUCUGGAGCCAACUGCUUCACAAAUUAAAAAAAAGUGCACAGAGAGUCCCUGAAGCCCACCAUCAACAGACAGGCUUUCAACAAAACUGCAUCAGCACCACCCUGGCUAUAGCUGCCCUCUGCAGAAAACGGGGAGAGAGGAACAGUGCUAAGAGAAGUUCGUCCUUGCCUGGUUCCUGGGUGGAACUUCCUCUCCCCCUUGUGUUCUACACGUGUGGUUACAGCUGCCUCUGAUCUUUGGUGACCAGCGGUGGGCAGUGGUGGUAUUUUAGCAUACUUUGAUCAUCGUGCUUAUUACACAGCCUCCUUUACUCAUCAACUCCACCUGCCUUUUCCUAGCCAUGCCCCCCACCUCUUCCCAUCUCUGUCCACCUCUCUGCUGUUUUAAAAAGUACUUAAGUGUGUACAGAUCACAGUGCACUGCUUGUGUGCCCAUUCACAUUUGAUGACUUCCAUAUCCCCCGUACAACUAGUUGUGUAUUCAUUUUAAUUCACCUUAUUUAUUUCCUAGCUCUUUCAUAAAAUAAAAUGAAAUAAAAG